AUUGAACGCUGGCGGCAGGCCUAACACAUGCAAGUCGAGCGAGUGGCGGACGGGUGAGUAAUAUCUGGGGAACUGCCUGAUGGAGGGGGAUAACUACUGGAAACGGUAGCUAAUACCGCAUACUAUCGGAUGAACCCAUAUGGGAUUUGCUAGUUGGUGGGGUAACGGCUCACCUAGGCGACGAUCCCUAGCUGGUCUGAGAGGAUGACCAGCCACACUGGAACUGAGACACGGCCCAGACGCCUACGGGAGGCAGCAGUGGGGAAUAUUGCACAAUGGGCGCAAGCCUGAUGCAGCCAUGCCGCGUGUAUGAAGAAGGCCUUAGGGUUGUAAAGUACUUUCAGCGGGGAGGCGUUACCCGCAGAAGAAGCACCGGCUAACUCCGUGCCAGCAGCCGCGGUAAUAC
rnacentral:rRNA from 1 species